GGAUCAAUAUAUCGGUCGUGCCUCUGGUUCGUACUGGUAUCAUUGAUUUCUCCUUUCUGACGAACCAUGAUGUCAUUAAUUUGGUGUUAUGGGGAGUUAGGACUGUUACUUUGAAAAAAUUAGAGUGUUUAAAGCAGGCAUUAGCUUGAAUACAUUAGCAUGGAAUAAUGAAAUAGGACGUUUGACCCUAUUUUGUUGGUUUCUAGGAUUGACGUAAUGAUUAAUAGGGAUAGUUGGGGGCAUUAGUAUUCAAUUGUCAGAGGUGAAAUUCUUGGAUUUAUUGAAGACUAACUACUGCGAAAGCAUUUGCCAAGGAUGUUUUCAUUAAUCAAGAACGAAAGUUAGGGGAUCGAAGACGAUCAGAUACCGUCGUAGUCUUAACCAUAAACUAUGCCGACUAGGGAUCGGAUGAUGUUAAUUUUUUAAUGACUCAUUCGGCGCCUUACGGGAAACCAAAGUGUUUGGGUUCCGGGGGGAGUAUGGUCGCAAGGCUGAAACUUAAAGGAAUUGACGGAAGGGCACCACCAGGGGUGGAGCCUGCGGCUUAAUUUGACUCAACACGGGGAAACUCACCAGGUCCAGACAUAGUAAGGAUUGACAGAUUGAGAGC
rnacentral:rRNA from 1 species